ensembl:lncRNA
AUCACUAUGAGGAACUUAAAGAACAAGGCUGAACACUACUAUGAUGGAAUCUUAAAAAUGGAAUUCAUAAGAUGCUUUCUUCAAAAAAAAAAACAAAAAAAAAAAAGUGGUAAUGCCACAAGGCAAGGUUUUUCCUGAGGUAAAGGACUACAUGAACCGGAUUACAAUUACACUUGAAUGAAGCACAAAACAAACAUCAUUUCCAGUUCAAAAUCAACUGAAGGAUCAAGAAGGAUGUGUUUCAUCUUCACCAGUCGAGCACAGUUCUUCAUCAGAGUUGGUGCUUCAUCAUCAUCAUCUCUGUGUUUCUGCUGUAUAUCUCAGGUGCUUUCUCUGAUCCUGUGAGGGUAAAAGUUGAGGGUUUUGUUGGAGACUCAGCUAUCUUGUCUUGUUCCAUCCCUGAAAAUGAGAUUCAAGACAAAAUAGAAAAAUUACACGUAAUCUGGAGAGACGAUAAAGGCAAGAAAGUGUGUGACAUCAUUGGAGGCAGCAUAGCUGAAGACCAAGAGCCAGAGUACAAGGUCAGAGUCGAAACGUUCCCAGAGGAGUAUAAGAAGGGCAACUUCUCCAUCAAACUCAGCAGUCUUCAAAAAAAUGAUGCAAGGAAGUUCCACUGUUACAUAACAAGGGACACAUUUCAGAAAGAGGUCAUCACAGAGCUUCAUGUCAGAGAUAAACCAGAAGGAAGAGGAAACCAUGGAGCACUAUCGUUGAUUGUGUUGUUGAUCAGUUUUCUUUUCACUCACAUUUUGCCAUUUAUCUGAACAAUAUUUUAUUCAGUUCUGUAAGUGUUGCACGGUUGAGUACAGAUCUGAUCAAUCAGCCAAAGUACAGUAUGGUCAUUGUGUGUAAAUUUCACUCUACAUUUCAGAAAAUAACAUGUUGAUCCUUGGUUUUUCAGUCAUUACAUUACAUUACAUUACAUACAUUAUUCCAUUCCAUUCAUUUUGUUCAUCUUAGUCAUUGCACAACUUGGCAAACCUUGUAUGCAUCAGUGUUUAUACUAAAGAUGUAACAGUUUCAGUCAUUGUCAUUUCUGUCAGUCGUGUGUGCAAUUAAAACUAUAUAACAUCAACCCUGUUAAUAAACUGAAAAAUAAAAUAUUUUACAUAUCUGACUAAGCCUCACUUUACUUGUGUUGCAUGUAAGUCAUGAAACAUUUGGAUUACAAAAAAUUACAGCUAGUUGCCAGAGCAACAUUUCUCAUUUGAAUUUGUACAUACAUGAAAGAUUAAAAAACCAUUAACAAUAACAAACAUAGUAAUAAAACUUUAAAAUUAAAUCUAAUACAGAAAACAUAUUUAUUAGUAUUCAAAAUCUUAACUAAAUUAAUUAUUAAUAAUAUUCCAGUAAAUCUUAAAUGGCACUGAAUGUUUGUCAAUAAAUUUGCCACAUAGCACUUCAUCAAAUAUCAAAUACUGAUAAAUGUUGACUCAUAUAGAGAAGGUGCACUUAGAAAAGAGUAGUUUUGACAAAUAUUUUUAAAUGUAAAAUAAUGCAUGCUUAUUAUAAGAUGUAAGUGGCUUAGAAAAACUGCUUUACUACAACGUGUUGCAAAAUGGAGGCUGUCUUGUUGAGAUCGUUUGACCAGAUGAACUUAUUUUUAUCUCAGUAACCCCCCAAUGACUCUACAGUUUCAGUUGUGGAAGGUAGAAAGAUAAAAUGGAGCAAGGACUACUCUUAACACAAGACAUGAAUUGUUUUGCUUCUGGUUAUUUUGCUUUAUAAUCUGCUAUUUUGUUUGUCCAACUGGUUAUUAAUAGUAUUAUUUUAUAAUCUGGUUGGUUGUCAGACUUUU